rnacentral:rRNA from 1 species
GAGUUUGAUCGUGGCUCAGGACGAACGCUGGCGGCGUGCCUAACACAUGCAAGUCGAGCGAUGAAGCCCUUCGGGGUGGAUUAGCGGCGGACGGGUGAGUAACACGUGGGUAACCUGCCUUGUAGAGGGGGAUAGCCUUCCGAAAGGAAGAUUAAUACCGCAUAACAUCUUUUUAUCGCAUGGUAGAAAGAUCAAAAGGAGCAAUCCCGCUACAAGAUGGACCCGCGGCGCAUUAGCUAGUUGGUGAGGUAACGGCUCACCAAGGCGACGAUGCGUAGCCGACCUGAGAGGGUGAUCGGCCACAUUGGAACUGAGACACGGUCCAGACUCCUACGGGAGCAGCAGUGGGGAAUAUUGCGCAAUGGGGGAAACCCUGACGCAGCAACGCCGCGUGAAUGA